rnacentral:rRNA from 1 species
UACGUAGGGGGCAAGCGUUGUCCGGAAUCAUUGGGCGUAAAGAGCGUGUAGGCGGUCCGGUAAGUCGGUUGUGAAAGUCCAGGGCUCAACCCUGGGAUGCCGACCGAUACUGUCGGACUAGAGUUCGGAAGAGGCGAGUGGAAUUCCCGGUGUAGCGGUGAAAUGCGCAGAUAUCGGGAGGAACACCUAUGGCGAAGGCAGCUCGCUGGGACGUUACUGACGCUGGAGACGCGAAAGCGUGGGGAGCAAACAGGG